rnacentral:lncRNA from 1 species
CGGGGCAGCCCCAGAGGCCUGGGAGGCGCAUCUGCCAGGCAGAUGGUAACUCUGAGGGGGUAAGGUGCGUGAGGAGGACUCGUUAUCCUCGCCUAGAGCCAACAGCACCUGCUCUCCCCCUGGAGACCGGCUUCACUCGGCAGAGCCGGCCUGACCACCGAGAGGGGCAACCGUCCCAAGGUCGUGCAACCUGCUGAAGACUGGGCUAGGGCGAGGCCUCCACUGGCUCAACCUGCCGGCCCUGCGCCUGGUCCCAUCCUCCGUGAAAGAGCACCCUCAGACGGGGAAACCGAGGCACAAGCAGCUGCAGCAGAGAGCCAUGGCAAGACUCGGAGAAGAAUGAGGCUGUGGGAUACCUCAGUGCCAGGGAAGGCCAGGACGCUGUGCGAGGUCAAUGGCCAGCUGGUCACCUCCAGAGAGGCUAAGUGGCCUCGCAGCAGGGCACCCCCGCUCGGAGCCAAGUCUGGAUGCCAACCCACGUCACCCCCAGCCCUCUCAGCUUGUGGACUGGAGCCUGGGCGCAGCCAGGCGGGCCCUCUGCCCCCUACCUCCACACUCAUGCACAAAUGCACGGACACACCGGGAGCGAAGCGUGUUAACUCAUGGACGGCGGGGCUUAGGCCUCGAAUCAAAGAACAAUAAUGCAAGAAUUCAUGCUUCUCUCACUCCUGAAGCAAAUGUGUGUUGAGGACUUUUGUGGCAGCACCGUCUCUCCCCCGUCCCUCCCCCGGACAGCUCAAGGACCCUUAGUUUCUUCCCUUCACCUGUCUAAUCACCAAGACAUUUUCUUCAGAAACCAUCUUACAAGAAACCUUAGUAAAUAAAAAAAUAGAUAAAGGGCA